rnacentral:misc_RNA from 1 species
CGGCAUCAUCAUCAUCGCUAUCGUCUUCAUCAAAAGGCUUUUCUUUGUGGAAAAUGCAACAUUUCUUGGAACUCUUCUUGUUGAGGAACUCGUUGUCCACAGUUCCUGCUUUCCACGACACUCUCCUCUUCGGCUUCAAUUUCAAAGUUAGGGUUUCGAUUGGUUGCUGCUGUUGUGACGAUGAUGAUGAUGGUGCAGAUUCCGAUGGGUUUCCUAGGGUUAAGGUUACCGUCGAUGUCCCGGUCGCCGGCUGUGCAAUUUCCCUCGUCCUUGUGGCCAUUUUCCCGAUUCUAG